AAGUACAAAGCGUUGCACGUGCGGAGACGCGUGGCUGGAUUCAUGGGCUUAUGUUGGUGUCCGCUUGUCCAUGGGGCUAUUAUCCACUUAUCUGUCGAUUGGAGCUCUGGCCUGGUCUGUUCAAUAAAUGCUUUCAAGACUUCUGCAGGGAGUCUAGCGGUUUGUCGUUCACUAUCGCCUUUUCUCUUUUUUGCUUAUAAAUUUGUGGACUUUCUGCUGUGGACGGCUCUUCCUGGCAGUGUGUCGUCUUGACUGCGUUUGCCUCUUCCCAUGUGAUGUUGAUGUUGCACUCGUGGGCCUUUCUUGCUGUCGCUGUCAUCAAUUUGGAGCUGGUUGUGUCCCUCUGGUGCUCUUUUGUUCUGUCCUUUAGGUUUCUCCUUGUUGCCCCUAUAUACACUUCAUCU
rnacentral:lncRNA from 1 species